AUCGCUUCUCGGCCUUUUGGCUAAGAUCAAGUGUAGUAUCUGUUCUUAUCAGUUUAAAAUAUUAGCAGUCACUGAAUGAAAGGGAUUUUUGCUUGUUUUGUUUUGGGGCUUUCUGUUGAUAACUGGGUCUGAGUCCAAUCAAUACACUGGAUGGAUUUUAUAUGGUACAAUCAUAUUUCACAGCCCUUAUUAA